AAGACGAAGAGAAGCAAUGGGCAAGGAAGCCGAUUUUAGCACCACAUUCAAAAAUCGAUCCUGAAAGCUAACUCUUCCCAGCCCUAACCUGAAGUGUCGCAAACGACAAGAGAAUGAAUCAGGGCCAACGAUGUGAAUGUAUUUGCAAAACUCUGUCACCACAUACGCAUCUGACAAUAGCCCAGGAGCAUCAAGUUCGCUUACGGAGCGUGUCCAUUUAUCCUCUGAUUUUGAAGCUUCCCUCCCCCCGUACCACGUACCCAGAAGCCACUCCACUUGCCAACCAUGUCCAGUUUAACUUACUGCAGUGCGAUGCGGGCGAAAGCUGGGCGCAUCUCUGA
rnacentral:lncRNA from 1 species